rnacentral:rRNA from 1 species
AGUGGCGGACGGGUGAGUAACGCGUGGGUAACCUGCCUCAUACAGGGGGAUAACAGUUAGAAAUGACUGCUAAAACCGCAUAAGCGCACAAAACCGCAUGGUUUGGUGUGAAAAAACUCCGGUGGUAUGAGAUGGACCCGCGUCUGAUUAGCUAGUUGGAGAGGUAACGGCUCACCAAGGCGACGAUCAGUAGCCGACCUGAGAGGGUGACCGGCCACAUUGGGACUGAGACACGGCCCAAACUCCUACGGGAGGCAGCAG